CAGAGGGCUCUCAGGAGGCCAAAGGGCAAGAAGGGCCAGUCCUGGGAGUGAGGUACCCCGACAGCUGCUCCUCUACUUCUGAGAACGCAUUUUCCUAGUUCUCCGCUUCGUGGACGCACGGCCCGCCGGCCUGGCCCUGCGGAGCGGGCGCGCUGCCCUUGCCCCGAAGUCCGGCCCCGGACGGGGCAGCGCGCGGUGAGCGGAUUCCGGGCGCUGUGGCCUCCGCCGCCUCCGGCCCUGCUGGCUUCCUGGCCGCGCUCCCGCUGCCGAGCGCGCACCCUCGCCGGGACACAGACGCACACUCACCGACACACACUCGCUCCCGCUCGCCCUCGGCGGAGAGUUGAAACAGAUGUGGGAUUCGCCCAGGAGCUGGAAACGAGGGAGGAACGCGAGCCAGAGCCGUGUGUGCGCGCGUGUGUGUGUCUGUGUGUGUGCGUGCGCGCCCCACACGGACGAGGGGGGCAUUUUUACUAAACCAAAUAUCGUAAUAAAGUGGGGAGGGCCAUCGAUCAGAUCCACUUGGCCGGAACGAAGACAACCCUUGGCUUCCUUGUCGCUUUCUUUCUCUCCUCCCCUGGCACUAGAAAAGCCAAGUGUUUCUUGGGGCGUGCGACAGCCCCCGCCGGGCGCUCCCCUCGUAAUGACGCGUUAAUAAAUGUUUUCUUUUAUCUCCUUUCACAGGGGCUCACCCCGCACUGCAAACGCCCUACUGCCUAGGCUGAAAGCCCCGCGCUCGCCGGGAUCUACACACAUUUUCCUUUAGAGGCGCCGGUUCCGGGCCAGCCCCAAGCUAGACCGCGGGGAGAGCUGCCCACGCGCCUCGGAAGUUCUCCGAGAAAUCCUGUUGAGCUCGAGUGAGAAAAGCGGCCCAGAAAUGGCCCGGGAAUAGGAAAGAAAAGACGAACCUGCUUCCUCCGAAAGGGAGGGAUUCGACUCAAGGUGGUGCUGUCUGCCGAGAUUUCCACUAUCCCCAGCAUCACGGCCCAGGCCCAGGGGCACGGGGGCUGGAAGGGGUGGGCCUAGAGCCCGCAGAGAACCAACCAGUAGCUGCAGAAAAUGAAGCUGAGCUGCUAAAGGGAAACAGAUUCUUCUAUAGAAAAGCACUCAUGGGCAGUAGUAACCCAUCUAAACCUAACACACGAAAUCGGUUGUGGCAUUAUACCCAUUUCACAGCUGUGGACACCAAGGUGCAGAGUGGUUAAGUGACUGGCUCAAUACCCAAUUUUAAGUGAUGGAUCUGGGAUUUGAACCCAAGAAGCCCAGCUGCGAGCAAUGCUCUUGCACCCCAGCCAGUGGUGGCAAACCUGUGGCACAGGUGCUGCAGUGGGCUGUUUAUCAUCAAAAGCUCUAAAAGUUUCACCAUUACUGCCACUAGGUUAUUGUCACUCUUAAUCGUGCUUAGAGUUGUCAGAUUUAGUAAAGAUAACAGGAUGUUUAUGGGGAUAUGCUUAUACUAAAAUUUCUUUUGUUUUUAAAAUCUGAAAUUCAAAUCGAAUGUCUUGAGUUGAGGGGGCACUCUAGGCCCUUCGCCUUAGUCUUCCUCCUCAUCUCAGAUGAAUCUAGUCUAAAUCAGAAAAAUCCUUGAACUUUGUUUUAUAAAUUACCUGCUGGCCCCACUGCACUGCCUGAUUUUGCAGUACAAUGUCAUGCUUCCUGUUUGACCUUUGUGGAACCCCAAGAUAUUGGAGUCCCUCCUGUCUCCUCAGAAGGGAAGUCAGACCCACCGUGGUGCUUUACCACAGAUGUAUGCUGCACGCCAUGGAUAUAACUGAAAAUUGUCUAGUACUGGCCAAUAGAGGGUUAAAAAAAAGCAGAUGGGGUUAGUUUUCCUAAUGUAGCUUAUUUAACCAGUAUACCCAAAUUAUCAUCUCU
ensembl:lncRNA